rnacentral:rRNA from 1 species
UACGAAGGGGGCUAGCGUUGCUCGGAAUGACUGGGCGUAAAGGGCGCGUAGGCGGUUUGGACAGUCAGAUGUGAAAAUUCCUGGGCUCAACCUGGGGGCUGCAUUUGAUACGUUCGGACUAGGAGUGGGGAAGAGGGGUCGAUUGGAAUUCCCAGUGUAGAGGUGAAAUUCGUAGAUAUUGGGAAGAACACUGGUGGCGAAGGCGGCGACCUGGUCCUUGACUGACGCUGAGGCGCGAAAGCGUGGGGAGCAAACGG